UCCAGGCCGCUUUGUUUAACGCAAACCUCAAACAGAAGCAACACCUCCGCUUGAAGUCACCACAGGUCGCUACCUUCCCCAGCUCCGUCCGUGAAGAGUUUGCAGACUUGAAGCAGCAAUUCAUCACCAUGGUGAGCAUCACAAAAUGUUAUGUGACGCACCUGCAGGGCUUACUGAGGAUAAAGCACCAAAAGAAUCUGUUCACACUGAGUGUCAGGGCCAGUGUGGGACCAACUGCUUGAGAUACACUCCUGUAACAGGAGAUUCUAGCUCGGAUUGGAGACUUGAUUAUGCACCUCACCCCCUCAGCUGUGAAAAACAUAUGUCAAGAUUUGAUUUUUUAUGUUAUCCAGAAGUUCACAAACGUCAGAGAUGAUACCGCACCUUGAGACAGUAUGAAGCAAGUUUGGAAUAAUCUAUCUCAGAAGGACACAUUCCUCCUUAAGAUAUCGGGGAGAGAGAGAGCUUCUGCAACUGUAUGUGAGCACCUGAAGAGGGGUAAAUGUCUUUAGACAGUCACAGAGGAAAGAUCAGAUUGUUUUGUGCCAUUUUCUCCCUCAGCACCUCUCCUUAAGGAGAUGACUCGAAGAUAUAAACAAGUGGAGUAAGAAACCAUCGGCAAAUCCUGCCCACACCCAGUCACUGCAUUCCUUCCCUCUUCCACGUGGAUGCUAUUCCGAGGUCCUCUUUCAGUGGGUUCAGAAAAGAGUUACACAUUCCAUAAUACCCUUCAAAGACAAACCAGGGAACUGAGCUCUCCAGGCUGACACUCCUCACCUGCACAAACAUCAAACAUCACAAUAAACAGCUCGAUUGGC